AUUGAACGCUGGCGGCAUGCCUUACACAUGCAAGUCGAACGGUAACAGGUCUUCGGAUGCUGACGAGUGGCGAACGGGUGAGUAAUACAUCGGAACGUGCCUAGUAGUGGGGGAUAACUACUCGAAAGAGUGGCUAAUACCGCAUGAGAUCUACGGAUGAAAGCAGGGGAUCGCAAGACCUUGUGCUACUAGAGCGGCCGAUGGCAGAUUAGGUAGUUGGUGGGAUAAAAGCUUACCAAGCCGACGAUCUGUAGCUGGUCUGAGAGGACGAUCAGCCACACUGGGACUGAGACACAGCCCAGACUCCUACGGGAGGCAGCAGUGGGGAAUUUUGGACAAUGGGCGAAGGCCUGAUCCAGCAAUGCCGCGUGCAGGAUGAAGGCCUUCGGGUUGUAAACUGCUUUUGUACGGAACGAAAAGCCCCGGGUUAAUACCCUGGGGUCAUGACGGUACCGUAAGAAUAAGCACCGGCUAACUACGUGCCAGCCGCCGCGGUAA
rnacentral:rRNA from 1 species